ACGAACGCUGGCGGCGUGCCUCAUCCAUGCAAGUUGCGCGAUGAAGAUUGGUGCUUGCACCCAUUUGAAGAGCAGCGAACGGGUGAGUAACGCGUGGGGAAUCUGCCUUUGAGCGGGGGACAACAUUUGGAAACGAAUGCUAAUACCGCAUAACAACUUUAAACAUAAGUUUUAAGUUUGAAAGAUGCAAUUGCAUCACUCAAAGAUGAUCCCGCGUUGUAUUAGCUAGUUGGUGGGGUAAAGGCUCACCAAGGCGAUGAUACAUAGCCGACCUGAGAGGGUGAUCGGCCACAUUGGGACUGAGACACGGCCCAAACUCCUACGGGAGGCAGCAGUAGGGAAUCUUCGGCAAUGGACGAAAGUCUGACCGAGCAACGCCGCGUGAGUGAAGAAGGGUUUCGGAUCGUAAAACUCUGUUGGUAGAGAAGAACGUUGGUGAGAGUGGAAAGCUCAUCAAGUGACGGUAACUACCCAGAAAGGGACGGCUAACUACGUG
rnacentral:rRNA from 1 species